rnacentral:rRNA from 1 species
CAGUAGCCGCGGUAAUACGUAGGUGGCAAGCGUUGUCCGGAAUUAUUGGGCGUAAAGGGCUCGCAGGCGGUUUCUUAAGUCUGAUGUGAAAGCCCCCGGCUCAACCGGGGAGGGUCAUUGGAAACUGGGAAACUUGAGUGCAGAAGAGGAGAGUGGAAUUCCACGUGUAGCGGUGAAAUGCGUAGAGAUGUGGAGGAACACCAGUGGCAAAGGCGACUCUCUGGUCUUUAACUGACGCUGAGGAGCGAAAGCGUGGGGAGCGAACAGGAUUAGAUACCCCCGUAGUCCCUGUCUCUUAUAA